rnacentral:tRNA from 1 species
GCGCCUUUAGCUCAGUUGGUAGAGCAGUAGACUCUUAAUCUAUUUGUCCAGGGUUCGAGCCCCUGAAGGCGCA